GGACUUUUUGUGCUAAGAUUGCACACAACUUUUUUAUAAUAAAGAGGAAGGAUAUUGUUGAGCGCGCAUAUCAGUCGUAACUUGUAUGUCUGUGUUUCCAACAAGACAUCUAGGUUGAUCUUGCAUCAAAUAUCUUGGUAGACUUGCCUGACACAGUUGGGAGUUUACGGUAUCUUAAGGCUCUGCAUCUGAGUAAUAAUGGCCUCAAAUCCCUUCCUUCGACGCUAUUCAAAAUGUGCACCCAUCUCUCGACUCUUGAUCUUCAUAAUACAGAAAUCACAAUUGAUAUUCUC